CAAUAGCGUAUAUUAAAGUUGUUGCAGUUAAAAAGCUCGUAGUUGGAUUUCUGGUCGGAAGCUCCUGUCCUCUGAUGAGCGUACAAGUGCGUCCUACCAUCCUUCUGUUAACCUUUAAGGCUUUCGCGGCUUUCUAGGGGCUCAGAUAUUUUACCUUGAGAAAAUUAGAGUGUUUCAGGCAGGCUAGCGCCGGAAUACAUUAGCAUGGAAUAAUGGAAUAGGACUUUUGCCUCUUCUGUUGGUCAUGAGGCUCGAGUAAUGAUUAAUAGGGAUAGUUGGGGGCAUUAGUACUUAACUGUCAGAGGUGAAAUUCUCGGAUUUGUUAAAGACUAACUUAUGCGAAAGCAUUUGCCAAGGAUGCUUUCAUUAA
rnacentral:rRNA from 1 species